rnacentral:rRNA from 1 species
GUGCCAGCCGCCGCGGUAAAACGUAGGUCACGAGCGUUAUCCGGAUUUACUGGGCGUAAAGCGCGUGUAGGCGGUCAGGUAAGUCGGGCGUGAAAUCUCUCGGCUCAACCGGGAGGGGUCGUCCGAAACUACCAGACUAGAGGGCAGUAGAGGGAGGUGGAAUUCCCGGUGUAGUGGUGAAAUGCGUAGAGAUCGGGAGGAACACCUGUGGCGAAGGCGGCCUCCUGGGCUGCCCCUGACGCUCAGACGCGAAAGCUAGGGGAGCGAACGGGAUUAGAUACCCCCGUAGUCC